AGAUUGAACGCUGGCGGCAGGCCUAACACAUGCAAGUCGAGCGGCAGCACGGGUACUUGUACCUGGUGGCGAGCGGCGGACGGGUGAGUAAUGCCUAGGAAUCUGCCUGGUAGUGGGGGAUAACGCUCGGAAACGGACGCUAAUACCGCAUACGUCCUACGGGAGAAAGCAGGGGACCUUCGGGCCUUGCGCUAUCAGAUGAGCCUAGGUCGGAUUAGCUAGUUGGUGAGGUAAUGGCUCACCAAGGCGACGAUCCGUAACUGGUCUGAGAGGAUGAUCAGUCACACUGGAACUGAGACACGGUCCAGACUCCUAGGGAGGCAGCAGUGGGAAUAUGGACAAGUGGGCAAAGCCUGAUCCAGCCAUCGCCGCGUGUGUGAAGAAGUCUACGGAUUGAAGCUAUUAAGUGGAGAGGCAGUUACUAA
rnacentral:rRNA from 1 species